rnacentral:lncRNA from 1 species
UCGGAAGAGUCUCAAAGAGACUCAGAUAUUUUUAUCAGAGAAAUGACCCCCUCAGGUCUGUCCAAAUGACCCCUAAGACUAUAUAUCAAAUAUAGCCUUUACAAAUGUAGCAUAAUCAAUUACAGAAAUAGCCUAUUUACACAUAUAGCCUAACUACAGAAAAUAAGCUAAUUACAAGAAUAGCCUAAUUACAUAAGUAGCCUAGUCUGUCCAAAUGACCCCUAAGACUAUAUAUCAAAUAUAGCCUUUACAAAUGUAGCCUAAUCAAUUACAGAAAUAGCCUAUUUACACAUAUAGCCUAACUACAGAAAAUAAGCUAAUUACAAGAAUGGCCUAAUUACAUAAGUAGCCUAUAUAUAUCUCAACAAAAUCUGUUGGAUCAGUUUUGUUUGUCUUUUUCUUUUUUUCAUCCCAAUACUAAAUAAUUUGUCUUUUUACAGAAAUUAGGUGCUAUAAGUGAGAAGUUCUCCUAAUCUUGUACAUAUCCAUUUCAUUAAGUGUCUAUUUUGACUCUAAUGAUAGAAUGUCUUAGAUUGCAUUCCUUUUCUAAACUAAAUUGUAAAAUAGUGGGACAUUAUUGGUUCCAGAUCAUAGCAUUAAAAUGUAGGAAAAAAAGCUUGUAGCUCCUUGUCAAUUUAUAAUAAGAAAUGUUUCCUCGAGUAUAUAGGCUUUUGGUAUAUAUUGUACAUUGUACAUGUAAUUUGGUCUCUACUCCUACACAAAAGUCAGGGUUAUACCACCCCUCAAAAAGCUAUAAAUUGGAUCCUUACUCUGAAUCAUCUGAGUAUUUUGGUACCUCCAACUCCAUUACCGAAAUUCCCAUCACGAGAACUUAAUCAUGCACACAACUAACAAUUAGGCUUGUUGCAGCGGUUUUCCUUGUCUAUUGCAACGAUUUUGGAACCAUUGUCAUAGACAGUGGCGGAGCUACGACACCCCUUUGCCAGAAAAUUAUACUAUAUUACUAGGUAAAUCGUCAUUGACCCAAUUUCUAGUCGUGCCAACAGAGAAGUAGGACUGUACAUCUCCAGAUAAUGUAAAGUCUUGCCCUCUGCUCUCUAGCUUGCUUCGAGCAGCGUUGCAUUGAUUUGAUCUUUGAACUUAGUAAUGAUGACAAUGAACUUGCAAGAGCAGCCAUAUAUGGAUGUAACAAUUAUGUAUAGCUCUGAGUUAAAGAAGGUUUAAUUUAAUGGAGAUGAGUUAAAAGGAAAAUUGUUUGAGGAGUGUUUAGGACUUAGAAUAUAUAUAUAUAUAUAUAUAGAAGGGAAAGAGAAGAUAUAUGAAAGGGAAUAUGUGGUGAAUGAAAGAGUUAAGAGAUGGAGUUGGUCCUACGAGGAAUGCAUGUGACAUAGGUUUAACAAGGGCUUUGUCUCUUAUCCAUCCCCACAAUGAAAGAGACUUGUUAUCAUAAUUAA